GUCUGAUUGCAAGCUAAUAAAUAAAAUGAAAUAGCAUUGAUGAGUUUAAUAUUUACAUAUAACCUUUAAAAUAUAACCUUUUUAACAAUAUUCUGUACACUUUUAUGCAUAAUUUUUUUGCACUUGUUAUCGUUUCAUGGUUGUUGAAUUGAUUGUAAUAAACUUAACUAAUAAGCUUUACUUUUCAGUUUAACCCUCAAAUUGUAUCCAAUCCCAACUUAUAUAUUUUUUAAGGGGCCAGCUGAAGGACGCCUUCAGGUGCGAGAAUUUCUCAUUGCAAUGAAGACCUGUUGGUGACCUUCUGCUGUUGUCUGCUCUAUGGUCAGGCUGUUGUGUCUUUGGCACAUUCUCAAUUUUAUUGUAUCAUUGUAAUUUGACCUCAAAAGAAUCGCCAGAAGUAAAGUGAAAUUUGCAUAGGGUUCCGUUUUAUGUAAUACAAAUAGUUUAAACAAAACCAUAUUUUUUACAAAUCCAUUUAUCUUGAAAUACAUGUAUUUUGAAACUAAGAAUUGAUAUGAUAUGGCCUGAUUAGUUCUAAUUAACUCACUUGGUGAGAUUCUUGUUAAGGAAAACAUAGAUGUUACACAUUAAACAAUAAGUGUGAUCAGAUCAAUAAAACAUAUUCAUAAUGACAUAUAAUACUAUAAAGGUAAAUAACAAAUGUUCUUCAGAAAGCAAUCUUAUUAGGGUUUUUUAUAUUUUGUUCAGAAAGCAAAGUUACUGUAACUAUAUCAAUUAUUGUGAGGUACUCCUGGGGUAUUGUGAGGUACUCCUGGGGUAUUGCAAUGAUAAAGAGCAUGCAUUUUGUAAUCUGGUACAUAUUUCUGUAUGCAGUGUUCCAAAAAAUUGCAAUAAUUAAACUUGCAUUUUUGUAAAUUUUUCAUCAAUCUCAUUAAUUUCUGAAUUUAGUUACUUUGAAAAGUACGCUUAAUUUAUACUUUUCCAAUGAUCAUAAGAGAGGAUGUAUCAUAUAAAAUGC
rnacentral:lncRNA from 1 species